UACCAGCACCCCCGAGUGGUCGGGACGAUUAUUGGGCCUAAAGCAUCCGUAGCCGGUUUUACAAGUCCCCCGUUAAAUCCAACUGCUUAACAGAUGGGCCGCGGAGGAUACUAUAAGACUAGGAGGCAGGAGAGGCAAGCGGUACUCAGUGGGUAGGGGUAAAAUCCGUUGAUCCAUUGAAGAACCACCAGUGGCGAAGGCGG
rnacentral:rRNA from 1 species